ACCUACCUUAAAAAGUGGGAUACCACUUGGAAACAGGUGCUAAUACCGGAUAACAACAUGAAUCGCAUGAUUCAAGUUUGAAAGGCGGCGCAAGCUGUCACUUUAGGAUGAGCCCGCGGCGCAUUAGCUAGUUGGUGGGGUAAAGGCCUACCAAGGCAAUGAUGCGUAGCCGAGUUGAGAGACUGAUCGGCCACAUUGGGACUGAGACACGGCCCAACUCCUACGGGAGGCAGCAGUAGGGAAUCUUCCACAAUGGACGCAAGUCUGAUGGAGCAACGCCGCGGAGUGAAGAAGGUCUUCGGAUCGUAAAGCUCUGUUGUUGGUGAAGAAGGAUAGAGGCAGUAACUGGUCUUUAUUUGACGGUAAUCAACCAGAAAGUCACGGCUAACUACGUGCCAGCAGCCGCGGUAAUACGUAGGUGGCAAGCGUUGUCCGGAUUUAUUGGGCGUAAAGCGAGCGCAGGCGGAAUGAUAAGUCUGAUGUGAAAGCCCACGGCUCAACCGUGGAACUGCAUCGGAAACUGUCAUUCUUGAGUGCAGAAGAGGAGAGUGGAACUCCAUGUGUAGCGGUGGAAUGCGUAGAUAUAUGGAAGAACACCAGUGGCGAAGGCGGCUCUCUGGUCUGCAACUGACGCUGAGGCUCGAAAGCAUGGGUAGCGAACAGGAUUAGAUACCCUGGUAGUCCAUGCCGUAAACGAUGAGCGCUAGGUGUUGGGGACUUUCCGGUCCUCAGUGCCGCAGCAAACGCAUUAAGCGCUCCGCCUGGGGAGUACGACCGCAAGGUUGAAACUCAAAGGAAUUGACGGGGGCCCGCACAAGCGGUGGAGCAUGUGGUUUAAUUCGACAGCAACGCGAAGAACCUUACCAGGUCUUGACAUCCUGCGCUACACCUAGAGAUAGGUGGUUCCCUUCGGGGACGCAGAGACAGGUGGUGCAUGGCUGUCGUCAGCUCGUGUCGUGAGAUGUUGGGUUAAGUCCCGCAACGAGCGCAACCCUUGUCUUUAGUUGCCAUCAUUAAGUUGGGCACUCUAGAGAGACUGCCGGUGACAAACCGGAGGAAGGUGGGGAUGACACC
rnacentral:rRNA from 1 species